CUAUGGUUUAUGUUAACCAUGGCUGAAGGAG
rnacentral:ncRNA from 1 species